rnacentral:rRNA from 1 species
AACGAACGCUGGCGGCAGGCUUAACACAUGCAAGUCGAGCGCCCCGCAAGGGGAGCGGCAGACGGGUGAGUAACGCGUGGGAAUCUACCGAGCCCUAAGGAAUAGCUCCGGGAAACUGGAAUUAAUACCUUAUACGCCCUUUUGGGGAAAGAUUUAUCGGGGUUUGAUGAGCCCGCGUUGGAUUAGCUAGUUGGUGGGGUAAAGGCCUACCAAGGCGACGAUCCAUAGCUGGUCUGAGAGGAUGAUCAGCCACAUUGGGACUGAGACACGGCCCAAGCUCCUACGGGAGGCAGCAGUGGGGAAUACUGGACAAUGGGCGCAAGCCUGAUCCAGCCAUGCCGCGUGAGUGAUGAAGGCCCUAGGGUUGUAAAGCUCUUUCACCGGAGAAGAUAAUGACGGUAUCCGGAGAAGAAGCCCCGGCUAACUUCGUGCCAGCAGCCGCAGUAAUAC